rnacentral:rRNA from 1 species
CCUACGGGAGGCUGCAGUAGGGAAUCUUCCACAAUGGGCGAAAGCCUGAUGGAGCAACGCCGCGUGGGUGAAGAAGGUCUUCGGAUCGUAAAACCCUGUUGUUAGAGAAGAAAGUGCGUGAGAGUAACUGUUCACGUUUCGACGGUAUCUAACCAGACAGCCACGGCUAACUACGUGCCAGCAGCCGCGGUAAUACGUAGGUGGCAAGCGUUAUCCGGAUUUAUUGGGCGUAAAGGGAACGCAGGCGGUCUUUUAAGUCUGAUGUGAAAGCCUUCGGCUUAACCGGAGUAGUGCAUUGGAAACUGGGAGACUUGAGGGCAGAAGAGGAGAGUGGAACUCCAUGUGUAGCGGUGAAAUGCGUAGAUAUAUGGAAGAACACCAGUGGCGAAAGCGGCUCUCUGGGCUGUAACUGACGCUGAGGUUCGAAAGCGUGGGUAGCAAACAGGAUUAGAUACCCGAGUAGUC